CAGUCGCCGCGGGAACACGUAGGGUGCAAGCGUUAAUCGGAAUUACUGGGCGUAAAGCGUGCGCAGGCGGUUUGUUAAGACAGAUGUGAAAUCCCCGGGCUCAACCUGGGAGCUGCAUUUGUGACUGGCAGGCUAGAGUAUGGCAGAGGGGGGUGGAAUUCCGCGUGUAGCAGUGAAAUGCGUAGAUAUGCGGAGGAACACCGAUGGCGAAGGCAGCCCCCUGGGCCAACACUGACGCUGAGGCACGAAAGCGUGGGGAGCAAACAGGAUUAGAUACCCCGGUAGUCCCUGUCUCUUAUAC
rnacentral:rRNA from 1 species